AUUGAACGCUGGCGGCAGGCCUAACACAUGCAAGUCGAACGAGUGGCGGACGGGUGAGUUAUGUCUGGGAAACUCCCUGAGGGAGGGGGAUAACUACUGGAAACGGUAGCUAAUACCGCAUAGUCUCAUAUGUGCCCAGAUGGGAUUAGCUUGUUGGUGGGGUAAUGGCACACCAAGGCGACGAUCCCUAGCUGGUCUGAGAGGAUGACCAGCCACACUGGAACUGAGACACGGUCCAGACUCCUACGGGAGGCAGCAGUGGGGAAUAUUGCACAAUGGGCGCAAGCCUGAUGCAGCCAUGCCGCGUGUAUGAAGAAGGCCUUCGGGUUGUAAAGUACUUUCAGCGGGGAGGCGUUACCGGCAGAAGAAGCACCGGCUAACUCCGUGCCAGCAGCCGCGGUAAUAC
rnacentral:rRNA from 1 species